GCCAACUUCCCAGGGAGGCCCUGAUCACAGCUCGGGCUCCCCAAAUCACUCAAAAAUACUCAUGGUUUUUCUGUCUUCUGACAACCUUAACUUCUGAUGUUUCUGAUUUUCAGACAUGGAGAUAUAUUUAUGAAUCACACUGAAAACUGGAUUGGCUGUCAGUACAAGAAGGUGGGAAUACACCAACGGAGAAUUUGUGGAGAUCAAAGCCCGACCACCUCAAGAGGAACACUUAGAACUCCUGGGAGAAAUAAAAACUUACAGAUGGAAUGUCCCUAAAAGAUCAGGUCCAGGGCCCUCUGAUCCUAAUUGUAUUCCAUGGGUUUACUAUUCAACAGUAAACUUUGUGAAGGAUACAUAUAGUGGUUUGAUGGGUCCUCUGUUUACAUGUCGAGAAGGAGUAUUGAAUGAAAAGGGAAAAAGAAGUGAUG